rnacentral:rRNA from 1 species
ACACGUCUACAUUAGAUACCCCCUGUAGUCCCAGCCGUAAACUAUGCGCGUUAGGUGUAUCGGUGACCACGAGUCACCGAGGUGCCGAAGGGAAACCGUGAAACGUGCCGCCUGGGAAGUACGGUCGCAAGGCUGAAACUUAAAGGAGUUGGCGGGGAGCACAACAACGGGUGGAGCCUGCGGUUUAAUUGGACUCAACGCCGGACAACUCACCGGGAACGACAGCAAUAUGUAGGCCAGGCUGAAGACCUUGCCUGAAUCGCUG